UUGGAGGGCAGUCUGGUGCCAGCAGCCGCGGUAUUCCAGCUCCAUAGCGUAUAUUAAAGUUGUUGCAGUUAAAAAGCUCGUAGUUGAAUUUCGGGAUCAGAUUGUCGGUCGUGCCUCGGUACGCACUGGUAUUAUUGGUUCCUACCUUCUGAAGAACCGCGAUGUCAUUAAUUUGGUGUCGUGGGGAAUCAGGACUGUUACUUUGAAAAAAUUAGAGUGUUUAAAGCAGGCUUACGCUUGAAUACAUUAGCAUGGAAUAAUGAAAUAGGACGUUUGAUUCUAUUUUGUUGGUUUCUAGGAUUGACGUAAUGAUUAGUAGGGAUAGUUGGGGGCAUUAGUAUUCAAUUGUCAGAGGUGAAAUUCUUGGAUUUAUUGAAGACUAAUUUGCCAAGGAUGUUUUCAUUAAUCAAGAACGAAAGUUAGGGGAUCGAAGACGAUCAGAUACCGUCGUAGUCUUAACCAUAAACUAUGCCGACUAGGGAUCGGAUGAUGUUAAUUUUUUAAUGACUCAUUCGGCGCCUUACGGGAAAC
rnacentral:rRNA from 1 species